rnacentral:lncRNA from 1 species
ACAGAUGUAACUGAGGCAUUGAAUAAUCAACAUAUCGGAGCCAAUUCCCAGGACGGCAAGAGGGGGAACCGGCAGAGAUGACUGACCGUGGAGGACAAGAGCAUUCUUCUGACAAGUUUUAGCAUGGACUAUCCUCAGGAAAAUGAGAUCCAGGAAGAGUGACGCCCUCCUCGAACUGAAAGAUACUCAGGCUGAUGGAGUCAGGGACGAAGUGGUUUAUCAACAACACAGGAUGUCUGCAGGGAACAGAACUUAUUCAGACAUGGCCCAGAUUGUCUGCCCGUGGGGACUGAGGGACCUCUGAGGGUUACAUCAGGAAGGAAGGAGAGGCUGUUUCUACAGGUGCCACAGAAAAAUCGAUGCUGAGCCUCGGAUUAUUGGAUCCCAUAGAACCGUGGAGACUUGGCAGUGAAAUUCUUCCAAAGGCAGAGGUGUUCCUGGUUUAGGAAGUAUAAAUCCCGUGGGAAGUCAACUGGAGGACAUUUUACGCGUCACUCAUCCUAUUAUGAGCCUGCUGCUCCUCCGUCUCUUGACAAGGCCACCAACUAGAAGGGCACAGAAUUAUUCAUAAAACAGCUGAAUGUGAACGUCUUUGGAUUCCCAUUUAAUGAGGUAAGAUUUUAUCAUGUGCUAUGAAAGUGCAUUGAUAUAUUCCCUGUCCAUCAUGCCUCAUGUGUGUUGUCUGAACUGUGACUCCUUUGAAAUGCUUAGAGUUAGUCUAUUGGAUCAUUAUGUCUGUAUAUAAAUCAAAUUAUCAUCAUUCCUUUCCACCUUCUUUAGCCUGUAUAACUCAGAAUAUAAUUCGAAGUAUAAACAAAAAGUAUAAAUGGUAUACAUUAGAGUGCUUUAUGGCAAAGGACAUAUUAUUACUCUUUGCUGACGUUUAAUGACUGGUGUAGGAGUUCUUCAAAGUGAGCAAACCAAAGGCAAUGGCAUCCUUUCCAAUGCUCCGAGGUUAAAGCUGGAAAUAGAGAGUUUGUGAUGAGUGAUAACCGCGUGUAACACUGUCUCAAUAAUGGGGUGUCUUAAUGAGAUGACUGAAGAGUACAACCGCCAAGGCUGAGAUGAUGCAAAGGCUAGGUGUGGGUACAGUUCCCGGUGCCUGUGCACACCAUUCAGUAUGUGCCAGUAUCUAGCUCUCUUCAUUUGGCAUGCCAGUUGUAUAGACCAAAAUGAAAACAUUUUUUUUCCAACCUAUCAAGAACACUAAAUUGGAAUCUCUCAUAAGAUACUGAAUAUUUGCUAUUUAUAUGUAACCUGUAUGAUGCAGCCAUUUUCAUUCUAGAUUAAGCAAGACCGAUAGGGUUUUCAAGGUGCAUAUUUCCUAGGUGAUUUGGGGAGAAGUGGCAUUUCAUUGAGGCAUACUUAUCUUUUGUGUCCAAGCUGUCUGAGAUGCCAAAACCGCAGAGCACAAUAUCUUUGAGUUGGAAACAUGUCAUUUGCUUGCGUCUCGUCAUCCUUUGGGGUUUUUCUAGACUCCCUGCCUCUUCUGUUUCUCGUCGAUGCUUCCAUUGUAUUCCAGUUGGCAGCUAAAGGACAGGAGCAGCAAUAAGGCUUCCUGGCUACAUUUUCAUGAUGCCACCAACUGCGAGUUAAGCUGACAAACAUUUUGAGAGCUCGGCCCAUUUCAUUCCCAGCAGGAUGGCAGGAGUUAACUAAAACAGAAUAAACUAAAAAUUGUGCCUUCAUUGCACAUUUGUACUGAUUAUCAGCACUGAAAAUGGCUAAGUUCUGCUUAUCAAGGUUAUGCUUCACAUCACCCACCAGGGAGGAUCAUCUCUCAUGAAAACUUUCAAAUUUGAUUUUGAAAAUUUAUUCAGAAAAAUUUCAGCCACGCUCUUUCCCAACACAGGAAAUAAUAUGCUCCAGAGUAUCCUCUAAUUCACCGAAAAUGGACUUGGAUAACAUUUGGGUUCUCAUACUACCACAGUCCUCUUGAGAAGGACAGCCAGGCUUGGGUGGCAGUGGUGGGCAAGGUUCCUUUCUGUCAAGGGAGCUGAUGCCUUAAAGAAGCUAUCUUCAGAUAAAGGGAGAUCUAAGGGAGGAAGCCAACGAAAGACACCAUGUACCAGAAAGCCAAGCAGGAUUUUGACAUUUAUAACCAUAAUCUCUAUAAACAAGAUGAAGCUUGGCUGGGGAUUUAGUUAGUAAAUCAACGAAAAUAAAUCCUGUGCAUAAUUCAAAGAUAACCCAAAUAAGAACAGAAAGUUGUGUGUCAUAGUCACUGGCAUCUAUCCGGUGCUUCUGAACCAUGAACCACAUGACCUGAUUAAAGAGGUUGCUCUGAGUGUGUUAUACUCUUCAUGAACUAAAUUCCAUGAUGACAGAAAACAAACCUGAAAACAAGAGUUAUUUCACAACUCUAAUGCUCCACAGAGUCGGCUGAAAUUGGUUGAGUUGAGGUGAAUUUUCAGUGGCCCUGGCUCAGUGUAGAAGGGCAGGAACAUUGGCUCAGCACAGCCCCAGGCUGUGCAGCAUUCAAUGUGACUUGGGACUGGCCUUCCUGGCUCUGCCUUGCCGGUGAAAUAUGGAUUGGAAGCUUUGAAUGUUGGAAGAAAUAAACAAGUCUUGGUUGGAGUCCCAGUUUCAAUAGCCACAUAUUUUCAAACCUAGACAAAUAUUCUGGUCUCAUCUCCUCAUUUGGUUUACUUCAAUCCUCGGAGAGAACGGAAUAGGACUAUGUAUUUCUUUGGAUGUUCAACACAGUGUUUAACUAAUGGGUGCUAUUUGAAAUAUUAUCGUCUAUUAUCAUUGCUAUUCUAAUAAGGAUGAUACUUGCUAUAAAUAUUAUUGAGGAAAAAAACUUGGAAGUGUUCUUGAGCAACAUAAACAGUACAAAAUGAUAGAUAUUAAACACCUUUCUUUUUUGCAUGUAAAACUAUACAAAUAAAAAUAUAGAAAAGUUUGC